CGUCUGUGGGGACGGAUGAUUCUUGAGUCAUCAGCUUUUUUCUGUGUGUUACAUACCCGAAGUGAUCCGCAAUGUCAGGAGAGGAUACUACCAACGCUUCGAUAGCCGAAACCCUCAAGACCAUGCAACAAACUAUGGCCGAUAUGGCGCAGAAGUUUUCAAACGUGGAAAAAACUGUCGAAACACUGCAAACAACCCAGGAUUCUAGAGUUCGAAGAACUAUCUUCGGAUCCCCAAAUUCCCUUCCGCGAAAUGCAAAAAGUGAUCAAACGACCCCGGAGGGUACAAACGCGGAGAAUCAACCAGAAGACGGAGAAACGCAUCCCGAGGACGAU